CACAAGGAGAGAUAAAGACUUUUGGCUAGAGUUUGCAGUAACUAUUCUGUGGUUGAGAGUUCAUGUAGGAAAAGCUGCAAAGUACAGAGUUUAUUUAAUGAAAGUGCAGAGAACACUUAAUCAGGUGUUUUGCAAACCAUGCCAUUGGAUACGACUUGUUUUGACUAAGUGAUGCAGGUCAAGCAAUGUGGGUCUUUUCAGAGAAAUGUUUUGAGUUUGUGAUCACCAGUCAAUUUGCCUGCGUCAUUAUAGAGGCGAAAGGUUAAGCCAGCUCAGCCUUCAUAGAGGCACUGCUGAGGGCCAAUGGGACACGGUGUUUUUCCCUGAUUAGGACCAGUGCGCAGAACUAAAAUACAGGUAAACAGUCACCUUUUUUAUAAAAGUCUGUGAGGGCGUUACCCGUGGCCCAUCGGAUUUUGGCAGUGCCUGUGAAGGAGUGACGGAUACCUGUGGAAGGACUGAAGCUACCAGGAAGAAGCAGAGAGGGGUGCCCUGGAAGGAGGAGCUUCCCAGUGAUGCAGAACCAAGCUGCCCUGCCCUCAUUGAGAAACCACCACCUUAUUCUGGAGCUUCCCCUGCUGGAGGAAUGUACCCUGACAUUGAGGAGGUCCAAAUGAUGGUAAGUCAAGUAAAUCAAUCUGACAUUUCCAUUACAGAUGGAAGGAGGCCUGCAGGUGGAAGGAUGACUCAGCGUGAAGGGACUUAUCAGGCCAGCUGAGCACCUCCAGUCCUCCCCACCAGUAGGACACCAGCAGCCCUUCCAGAAUUCAACACCCCUCCAAGCAAAGCGCCUGUUCAUUACAGAGUGAUGACCUAAUCAACAGCCAGCUGUUUACAGGAGGAUCCAUGGCCCAUCAGGAGCCUUGCCAGAAGCAAGAGCGCCCCCUAAAGGCCGGAAUUGGAAAAGAGACUUUUAUCCUAUUGUACCAGACCCAUCAACAUUACUCACCAAAAUCCAACCUUCAACAACCCAUUACACUGUCAUAGACUUGUGCUCAUCAUUUUUCUCCAUCACCAUACAUGAACAAUCCCAAGCCCUUUUUGCCUUCAUCUACAGAGGGCAGCAACACACGUAUUCCAGGCUGCCACAAGAAUACGUGCAAUCAUCAAGUGUGUUCAACCGAAUUGUAAGAGAUCUCUCUCCGUCCAAUGGGAGCACCCUCAUUCAGUGUUUGUUCUGUUCAUUUUUUUUGGGCCUGCUCCGAAGUUGUGAACAUUCCUCUGUGCACCUCCCCAUCAGAGGAGAAAAACAAAGGAAUAUCAGAGGAAUAUCAAAGGAAUAUCAAAGGAAUAUUUAAAAAAGUAUUGCCAACAACACUGUGUGGUAAUGACAUUUACUAUUAAAAAAAAUUCCUAGGAAGACAUUGUGAACCAUGUGCACUCUACAUCUUUUUACAUGCUGCAAUGAUUACUCUCCUGCUCUGAGGAAAAGUGUAUCAUCCCCAUUAACCACCAAUUAAAGUUUACUUCCAGCCUGAAUAAUUUGAUUCAUCUCCCUUCGAUGACUUUUCUUGAACAACUCUUGUUCCUUCAGCUCUACCAGCCCUGGGGAUUCAUGGAUUGUCUGACAGGUUUAAGAAAACUGAUUCACUUUUGUACCAUUAAUCUACUGUAGUACUUAGUUCGGGGUCCACUCCCAUGGGUCAAAACUACUACACCGUUUUUUUGUUGUACUUAUGAUUAUAAUCUCAGACCAGCACAGCAGUGUACACUCUUCUAAUUUAAAAAAAUAUAUUGUGAAUAAUUGCA